rnacentral:rRNA from 1 species
GAUGAACGCUGGCGGCGUGCCUAAUACAUGCAAGUCGAGCGAACAGACGAGGAGCUUGCUCCUCUGACGUUAGCGGCGGACGGGUGAGUAACACGUGGAUAACCUACCUAUAAGACUGGGAUAACUGCGGGAAACCGGAGCUAAUACCGGAUAAUAUAUUGAACCGCAUGGUUCAAUAGUGAAAGACGGUUUUGCUGUCACUUAUAGAUGGAUCCGCGCCGCAUUAGCUAGUUGGUAAGGUAACGGCUUACCAAGGCAACGAUGCGUAGCCGACCUGAGAGGGUGACCGGCCACACUGGAACUGAGACACGGUCCAGACUCCUACGGGAGGCAGCAGUAGGGAAUCUUCCGCAAUGGGCGAAGGCUUGACGGAGCAACGCCGCGUGAGUGAUGAAGGUCUUCGGAUCGUAAAACUCUGUUAUUAGGGAAGAACAAAUGUGUAAGUAACUAUGCACGUCUUGACGGUACCUAAUCAGAAAGCCACGGCUAACUACGUG